GCAGGCUAUUCCAUAGGAAGGGAGCUGCCGGCGAGAAGUCCUGCAAGCGCGAGUUGGUUGUACGGGUGCGAGUUGCGUUCAGGAGGUGGUCACGAGCAGAGCGGAGGGAACAAGGAGUGGCAUACCUGUGGAUAUGUGAAGAGAUAUAAGAGGGGCUAGAAUUGGUCAGUGCUUUACAUGUAUGGGUUAGCACUUUGAAUUGACUUCUAUAGGAUACAGAAAGCCAAAAUAAGGACUGACAGACGGGUGAGGUGUGAGAGGACCGACCAGAGAGGAAAAUCAGUCUGGCGGCGGCAUUCAUUACAGACUGUAGCGGGGCAAUACGGCUUUUGGAGAGGGUUAUAAUAAUCCAUGCAGGAAAUUACUAGAGCAUGGACAAGCUCCUUGGUAGCAUCUUUUGUAAGAAAGGGGCGAAUGUGGGCUAUGUUUUUAAGUUGGAGUCUAUAGGAUUUGGCAACAAACUGAAUGUGAGGCUCAAAGGUGAGGCCAGAGUCAAAUAUGAUGCCAAGACAGUGUGCUUGCAAGGAUGGACUUAUGUGGAUACCACGGACUUGAAGGUAGAAGGAGAGAGGUGAUCAGUAUUACGAGGAGGAAAGACAAGGAGUUCAGUUUUAGAGAGAUUGAG